rnacentral:rRNA from 1 species
GAUGAACGCUGGCGGCGUGCCUAAUACAUGCAAGUCGAGCGAACAGAUGCGGAGCUUGGUCCUCUGACGUGAGCGGCGGACGGGUGAGUAACACGUGGACAACCUCCCUAUAAGACAGGGAUAACUUCGGGAAACCGUAGCUAAUACCGGAUAAUAUAUGGAACUGCAUGGGUCAAUAGUGAAAGACGGUUUUGCGGUCACUUAUAGAUGGAUCCGCGCGGCAUUAGCUAGUUGGUAAGGUAAAGGCUUACCAAGGCAACGAUGCGUAGCCGACCUGAGAGGGUGAUCGGCCACACUGGAACUGAGACACGGUCCAGACUCCUACGGGAGGCAGCAGUAGGGAAUCUUGCGCAAUGGGCGAAAGCCUGACGGAGCAACGCCGCGUGAGUGAUGAAGGUCUUCGGAUCGUAAAACGCUGUUGUUAGGGAAGAACAAAUGUGUAAGUACCUAUGCACGUCUUGACGGUACCUGAUCAGAAAGCCACGGCUAACUACGUG